UAACACGCUUCGUGACGAGUCAGACUUGGCAAACAGACGUCCCCACCACUGAGGAUAGGGACACAGUUGUCCCCAAAGCUGUCACUGAUGGUCUUACAGCAUGGUGCCUACUGGCAGCUUACAGGUGGGCCUAAGCUUCUAGCACAGCUGUUUUGGGAUCAGGUCUCCUUUGUUCAACCCAGGAAGGCACAGAGAGUGACCAGACACCCCUGCCCAGAAUCUACCCGCCUGGUGACUGAUUGUGCGGCCUGGGGAUGGGUCAACAUAUGCAGCCUGCUGCCCUGGGAUCGUGGAGGAGCAAGGGUGUCUGAAGAGAAAUGCUGCUUGUGUCCAGGAAGCUGUGCCCUAAACGUGUUUGAAGAUGGAGACGGGAUGAUUCCUAAGUCACCUCAGGCUUGUGCUCUCGGCCCAUCCAGACCCAGUGACGUCCACCGCUGGACCGUCCCACGUAGAGUGCAGUCCACCUGAGUUGCCAUAACAAAACACUGUGCACUGUGUAGUUUACAGGCAACAAAAUUUUCUCACAGCUCUGGAGACUGAGAGAUCCAAGGUUAAGACUCCAGCAGACUCAGUGUGUGGUGAGAGCCCAUUUCCUGGUUCACAUGGCAGACAAAGAAUAGAAGCCCUCCAAGGGCCUCCACCAUCACCCUAAAAAAGGAAUGGAUCACCCUGCUACAUAGUCACCCCUAGAGGCUCCCAGUUCCUAAGCCCAGCAUAGUGUGGAUUUGUGUUCAACCUACAAAUGAGGUCAAGGUUUGCACAGACAUUCAGUCUGCAGCAAACCACAAUUAGUCCUUCACCUGCAAAGUCUUCCUUCAACCACCCCCUGCCUCCUCCCACACCUUCCGGGGGUGUGUGUCAUAUGCUUCCUGAUAUCUGGGUAAAUUUCUAAUUGUCUUCAGUGGACAUGUCUUCCUUCCUUCCUUCCUUCCUUCCUUCCUUCCUUCCUUCCUUCCCUCCCACCCUCUCUCUCUCUCUCUCCCUUCAUUCCUUCCU